rnacentral:rRNA from 1 species
AGAACGAACGCUGGCGGCAGGCUUAACACAUGCAAGUCGAACGCGUGUAGCAAUACACGAGUGGCGCACGGGUGAGUAACGCGUGGAUAUCUGCCUUUUGGUUCGGAAUAACCCCGGGAAACUGGGGCUAAAUACCGGAUGGUUCCUACGGGAUAAAGAUUUAUCGCCAAAAAGAUGAGUCCGCGUCCGAUUAGCUAGUUGGUGGGGUAAUGGCCUACCAAGGCGACGAUCGGUAGCUGGUCUGAGAGGACGAUCAGCCACACUGGGACUGAGACACGGCCCAGACUCCUACGGGAGGCAGCAGUGGGGAAUAUUGGACAAUGGGGGCAACCCUGAUCCAGCCAUGCCGCGUGAGUGAUGAAGGCCUUCGGGUUGUAAAGCUCUUUUGGCGGGUACGAUGAUGACGGUACCCGCAGAAUAAGCCCGGCUAACUUCGCGCCAGCAGCCGC